AGGAGGGGAAACGAAAGAGCCAUAACCUCGUAUUAUACGUUUCCUUUUAUUCCAAACAUAUCGUCAGAAUAUGUAGAUUGAGGUGGCUCUGAAAUUGAUCAGGUUCAAGUUCAUUUCCAGUUUAUGAUCGUCUUCUGCCUCCUAGCGACGAAGCCCAGACACGCACAACCGGGACUUCACCGCAACUUGCGAAGGAUGCCUGUUCUCCUGACCAACAUUUCUAAACACGGGUCACAGACCACGGAAACGUUACGAUAUAUAGUGCAUCGGAAUUAUCCCCCCAGCAAACGAUCCAUCUCCGGCGUUUGGGCAGCCUCCAAGGACCCCUCGAGCGGGCGCGCGCUCAGCUUAAGGUCUCUCCCUCGUGCAUCGGAUCUGAGUCCGCUGGUGAGUGUGUGGAUCGCCGGGGACGCCGGCAUUGCAGAAGUCACCGGCAGAAGUCACCGGCAGAAGUCACGGAUCUCUUUCCCGGAGCGGAUCAACACUUCUUCUAGAUAUAAUUAGGUGUUUGUACCCUGCGUAUCUCGAUAGAUACGUCUAUUGAAAGUUAAAUUGUAAGUGUGCUUGAUUGAAGGUAGCGCAACGAUUCAUACAAAAGCAAAAACAUGUACGCCGUACAUUUCAUGAACCCUUUAUUAGAUAUCAUAGGUGGUCAGCCACUCUAUAAUAUGGUAUAUAUGCUCUCCAUCACAAAAACAUGACAGUGGAAGCCUAAAACCCGGACAGAAUGCAGAAUCUGUAUGGCCGCCAGAAGUCGACAUCUAGUAUAAUAAUAUAUCUUCUGACAGCUAUACGAUAAAAGAUGCUGUUUUUGAACAGAACCUGACAUACCCACCUGAAUGAUUUUUUUAAAUAAGAAUCUGCACGUUGUUUUCAGCCCUGCCUUUAAAUCCGCAUGAGUCAUAUUUACACUUUUACAAGUUAUGUUAUAAUUAGAAAAAUAAAGUAAUCAUAAAGUAAUUCAACUCAUUUAAAAGUCGACGUUAAUAAAUAUUGAUGCAUAUAAUAACCAUUUAUUCCUAAAAGUUGCAGAUAUACCAAUACUGAGAAUGCAUAUUCUGUCAAAUUAAAUAAAAGCAACAAUUAGACAAUCUAUAAUUAAGAGACAGAUAAUGAGAAUAAAUUACCAAGUCAAUGCAUGAAUUUUAAUUAUAAACGCGCAGUGUGUUUUUCCAAGCAUUACUCUUCUUAUGUACAGAAUGGUUUUAUGUAUAAUGUCAUCUGUUUAUUAGAUUAGUAUUGCAAACAAAUAAGCAGAAUGUGAUGAACUUUCAAUAAAAGCGAUUGUUUCAC